rnacentral:lncRNA from 1 species
UUUUUCAACCCGACUAUACACGAGUUUUUUAAAGAUACGGCGUUUUUAGUAUUUAAUAUACAAAAUUACAUUUAUUUAGGAUAUAAUUUUUUUUAUUAUUUGGUAGAUUUUCAACUCGACUAUACACGGGUUUUUUUUAAAAAUACGACGUUUUUAGUAUUUAAUAUAUAAAAUUACAUUUAUUUAAUCUGUGUAAUACACAUGAUUUUCAAAGAUAUAAUUGUUUUUUAGAUCUAUUCAACACGUGUAAUAUACGAGGUUUUUAAGAAUGUAUUUUUUUUUAUUAUUUGGUAGAUUUGUUCAACCCGAUUAUACACGGGUAUUUUAAAGAUACGACGUUUUUAGUAUUUAGUAUACAAAAUUACAUUUAUUUAAUCUGUGUAAUACAUAUGGUUUUUAAAGAUAUAACUUUUUUAUUAUUUGAUAUAUAAAAUUACAUGAGCGGUGAUGAAUUUGCCACUUCCGACAAGAGGGAACAUAUAUGUGCAUAGUUCUUUUAGCCGCACAUACUCUUCUCUACGAUAAUAAGAAAAAUAUCAGUUCGUUUAAACUUCUUUGAAGUCGAGGAAAUUGUGAUAUACACAGUAUGCCGGAAAAAGCGUGAUCUAUUGUAUAGAUAUAAGGGAUUUAGGUGAUCAUGGUAUGCAGAGUAAGUUUUGACCCAUUAGCUUAUGAAAGGUCGAUUUGGGUUGGCUUUUACCUCAAACUGAUCAAACGGGUCAAAUAAAAAAGUAGCUAAAAGAGAACGCUCAAUUGGGUCAAGUAAAAAAAAAGUAGCUAAAAGGGAAAGCUCAAACGGGUCAAUAAAAUAAUAGGUAAAAGGGAAAGCUUAAACGGGUCGAAUGGGUCACAGGAAUUAAAAGUCAUUCAUAUUCUAUUUGUAACGCAUAGAAAAACCUACAGCAUUGUAUUCAAAUACUUUGAUUAUAAUUGAGUAUUCGCAUAAAAUUUUUAAAUAAAUAUAAUGAGCUUGUUAAUCAUAAAAAAUGAUUUAAAAAAAUGAUACAUAUGCAAAUCAACCCAAGUUUUAAUCCGAACCCAUUCAAGAGCGCCCAUCUUGCCACUUCCAAUGACAUGUACACAUAGAUAAGGAAAAGUUUAAUGGAAAUGAUAAAGUGUAUAAACUACCUUCGAGCUAAUCGUAUCUCUUUUCGCUCUUCAUAUGUACUUUUAGGAUCAAAACAACCGAGUAGAAAUUCCCAUACCUCUCCUCUAAUUGUUGGAUGUACCCCCUGAUUUAUCAAAAAAUGUUCAUCAAAAAAUGAAGUAAAUAUGAAAAGGGAACUACAUUUAAAUGCCAAAUGUUGAACUAAUCACAGAACAAAAUAAACAAAAUUUCAAGUAUAGAACUUACUCCACGAUAAAUUCGACCAAGGGUCUGGCCUAUAUCAAGAUAACCUUCUGGACUAAAAGCAGACCGCCACUUCCUUAAACUAAGGGUCUUCCCAAACUGAAUAAACAUAUCAGAAACUACAAGCUUCAGUAACAACUCAAUGAAACAUUAUAGAGUGCUAAAAAGGUAGUUUUAACAAGUGCAUAAUCAGAUAAUCAGCUCUCUCACUAGUCCAAAUUCUGAAUUCAUUUCUUGACAUGAAAACGGUAGUUUUUUAAGGUGUCAACGGCAUAUAAUAGUCGUUAUACACAAACACCACCAAACCAAAUGAUGCCCCAAAUUUGUUUUAGCAUUAUUUGUUACAAUUAUGUAUUUUUUUUUCCUCAAGUAUAACAAAACAUAUUCCAGAGGAGAUCAUAUCCACUUGGGGUAUGGUGGGGUGUGGCUGGGGUGGUGUGGCCAAGCCACAUCAUAAUGAGGUUCCGCCAUGGCUAGUGCUCUUGGCCAAUGAGAUCCCGCCAUGUCAUGUGGGUAGCCCCGCCCAACGCCCGGGUUGAAUCCCACGCCAAAGGGGCCACGCCGAAACCCAAGCCCACCCGGGGUGGUGACUUGGGCGUUUGUAC